rnacentral:rRNA from 1 species
UACAGAGGGUGCAAGCGUUGUUCGGAAUUAUUGGGCGUAAAGCGCGUGUAGGCGGCUUUGCAAGUCGGGUGUGAAAGCCCUCGGCUCAACCGAGGAAGUGCGCCCGAAACUGCAGAGCUUGAGUACCGGAGAGGAUGGCGGAAUUCCCCAAGUAGAGGUGAAAUUCGUAGAUAUGGGGAGGAACACCGGUGGCGAAGGCGGCCUGCUGGGACGUGGCUGACGCUGAGGCGCGACAGCGUGGGGAGCAAACAGG